rnacentral:rRNA from 1 species
ACGGAAGGCAGCAGUGGGGAAUAUUGCGCAAUGGGGGAAACCCUGACGCAGCGACGCCGCGUGAGUGAAGAAGUAUUUCGGUAUGUAAAGCUCUAUCAGCAGGGAAGAUAAUGACGGUACCUGACUAAGAAGCCCCGGCUAACUACGUGCCAGCAGCCGCGGUAAUACGUAGGGGGCAAGCGUUAUCCGGAUUUACUGGGUGUAAAGGGAGCGUAGACGGUUUGGCAAGUCUGAUGUGAAAGCCCGGGGCUCAACCCCGGGACUGCAUUGGAAACUGUCAAUCUAGAGUGCAGGAGAGGUAAGUGGAAUUCCUAGUGUAGCGGUGAAAUGCGUAGAUAUUAGGAGGAACACCAGUGGCGAAGGCGGCUUACUGGACUGUAACUGACGUUGAGGCUCGAAAGCGUGGGGAGCAAACAGGAUUAGAUACCCUGGUA